AUGGCACAUUUGAUAGCUAACAAAACAAAUAUCCUAUAUGUCACCUCCAAAUGUAUUGGCUUUAAAUAUGUUCUAAGUUGAACUUUUCUAAGUGAGACUAAGUUUUUAGAAAGAAAAUCAUAUUUAUAACGUUAUUUAUUUGGAAAUAUGUUAUCGUAUUUUACACUUUUGAUGUUGUAGAUGUUUCACUCUUCUAUAUAAAUUUGUUUUAACCUAAAAUAGUCCGACUUAGAGCAAACUCCCAAGUCCUUUUUUAUUUUAGGACAAAGGUAGUAUAUGGCCCGAUAAAUAUUACUAUUAAUCAUUCAUAUAAGACGUACCUUUUAUUUAAGAUUUCAAGCUAGCUUGAAUUCCAACUCACUACCGGAAAAUGAGCCUAAAUCUCUUAGAGC
rnacentral:lncRNA from 1 species